AAAAGUCAAAUUCUUCAUUUGUUGCUUUUUCAUUCUCUCUCUAAAACUUAGGUCUUCCAGUUUCCCUAAACUUAGCUCUGUCUUCUCUCUAAAAUCCCAGCUCAUUGAACCCAUUAAAUUUUGAUUUAAAGGUGCUCUAGCGUUCACCUCACCAAGGGCUCCAUUUUGAACCGAUCAUUUUCCUCAUCCUUCCCGGUUCUGUCAAGCUCCGUUCUGUGUGGAGGGUGCUAUUAGGGCGUCUUCAAUUAGCUUAUUUUGAGAAACCCAGACAUCGAGGAGGAUACUCUGGAAACAACUCUUGAUGGGGACGACAGUGCUGUAGCUUAGAUUUGCUAGCUUUUAUUUCCAUGAGCUCAUAUUAUUUUGAAGAACUUUAGUGCAUUUAAAGUUUUAAAUUCUCUGUAUUUUAAGGGAGAAACUCUAGUACUCCAAGUUUCCAAAUUGUACUGUUUAAGGAUGACUGUAAUCCUUAUAUACUUAAGUACAUCUCUAACUGCUUUCUAGUAUUGUAUGUGAUGACGUCUUAUUUUAUAUGCAUG